rnacentral:misc_RNA from 1 species
UGGGAGAAUCGCGUGAUAUCACUCCUCCACCGACACGUGAUAUCACCUCUCCGUCGACACGUGACAUGUCCCCUUCCAACCCCAACCAAACAGGCUCGGUUUCCGACUCGACUUGGAGACAGAAUCUCACCGUCUGGCUUGUGUUCAUGACCGGGUCGUAUUCGACGCGGCAACUGGUGGAUCGGAUGCACAAGAUGGACCGUUCCAAGAAGAUUGACGCCACGUGGUGGCUUCUGUUCUUUGCCACCAAUCUGUUUAUCACUUUUCCUGUCCUGUGUUUGGUCGGCGCUUUGGGGCGAUGGAAACGAGCGAGGUUGGUGGUCGAGGAGGGAGAAACGGACGAGUUGUUGGUUUAGAUGUUGUUGGUGCUGAUUUAGUGAUUGCCAAUUGGUCUGCAUCAUAUCAGAUAUCUCAAUGGAAGCCACUGUGGACCGCUCUAUGCUGUCAGUCAAGCUGUGGCUGGCGACUACGCAAAAUCGGAGAUCUGGGAUCGGAGUCCGUGUCAGUAUAUGGCAAUUCGGCGGUCGAUCAAGGACAUGUGUGUUUUGCUCAGCUCGUGCAAUCAUCAGAGGAUCCCCUAGUAAGAUCUUUUAGGGUGUGACAUCUCCCAGUGGACACUCACUAUGGUCGAAUUCACGAGUCAUGAGUCUAGGUCAUUCCCACAUUCCCAGUCACUUUCCUACCGUCUACAGUGAUUGGCUGUCUUUUCGCGUCCCCGUCCCAUUGUUCCCUGAUUCAUCACAGUCUACUAUCGGCCAUCCUCACACGUGAUCCACCAGGGGAACUUGAACUUGAACAGUACACAGACUCUUCACGACAAUCUGAGGUUCCUCUGCAUAAGAACGUCGUCAGCAGAACCUGGUUGGGUAUCAUUUGACGGUCCUGGCAAGAGCCGGAACUCUUAUCUGCUCUGGAGAACGUCUUCGCCUACUACUCGUACCCGGCUCAGGCCAAUCUUCAUGUCGGGAUUACCCACGAUCGACUUGAAGAUCAGAAUGUGGACCCAUAUAUCACCGACUGGAGUGUUUACCAUAUUCUCCGUUCGUCGCCUACUGGAACCCGUGAGACCCAUCUAGGAACACUACUGUACAGUCGACGGCAGCAAUUGGCAAAGCACUACUCAAGCAACCUCAGUGGGGAGGAACCCCCAUUUCGGAUAAGACAGUCGCACAGCGCAGCCAAAGACGAAAGGGUGCACCAACAAAAUGACUUUCCUUGAACUGUGGCGAAGGCAAUGGAUCAACCAACGUAUUCGCGCCAGGCGAAUCCACAAUUCAGCAUCCCGAUUCGGAGAAAAGGUCACGGCAAAAACCCCAUGGUGCAUAAUAACACCAGAACACCCCUACAGUAGAGGAUGAGCAACUUGAAUCGACAACAGCCAUUGCCAACCAGGAAAGUGAAAAAAACAAUACCAAUUGCUUAUAUCAUAUUCCCCGAGGGCUUCACUGCCAAAGAAGGCGCUUUUGGUGUGUUGGAGAGUUACCCUAUCGCAUGACUACAUUUCUCAGAGUGUGGUUCUAGAUCGCCCCGCUGUUUGUACGCCUCCAGAAUAAGUGGUUCUCCAACUCGGCAAUGAAACCAGCCCCGACGACAAAAACAGGGCCUCUGCGAACCGUGCUCUCCAUCGUCUGGUUCUGGACUCCCGCUCUUGUUGCUUUCAUGGUGACGUUCCAUCUUUUUUCGUGAAACACGAGAUCGACAAGACCCGGAUCGCAGAAUGGCUCCUGUGGACUCCACAAAUGGUUCGAUUGGAUGCACCACCUAUUCUCAUCGUGUAACGCGAUCAUCUAUGCUCCCGGAAUAUGGACGUUGGUGUGGAUAUGCCAGGACCACCUUAAACAACUGAAGAGAUGACACGAUGAGAGCCGAAACGAAAUUGAGGAGAGACAAUGGGCCAAGCUGGAGGCACAUCCCGAGUCGGAGAUGAGACAGGAUACGUUUGAUCUACUCGGGGACGAGUAGUGUGGCAGAGUAUCAUUCAAAACCAGUACAACAGAACGAGCUCAGGGGUCCAAUUGCAGAGUUCGACGAGUCUUGGACUUGGCUGGAGUCGGACAUGCAAAACGGGGGUUCAACGCUGUUUCAACAAACUCGCUGAAACCUCGUCGAGGAGAAAGCCCAAGCCAGCAUAGCGAGCCACUAGACGUAUGGUAUGUACCACAGCCACCCAGACAAAUGGAAACAAGUCCGUACCGUCCGUACCGGAAUCCAAUCCAGAGAUUAUGACUCUUUUGCCAAGCCCUAGAAACCUCUUGUCAUCUCUGAGGGCAAUGGGAUACUGAUAGACCUCUUCUCAUUUUUCCCAUUCUGAAGAUCUAU